rnacentral:rRNA from 1 species
UAGAUACCCCACUAUGCCCGGCCUUAACACAACAAUCAAAUAACAUAUUGUUCGCCAAAUAACUACGAGUAAAAACUUAAAAUUUAAAAGACUUGACGGUACUUCACAGCAGCCUAGAGGAGCCUGUCUAAUAACCGAUACCCCACGAUUAACCCAACCAGGGCUGGCCCAAUCAGUCUAUAUACCGCCGUCGCCAGCUCACCUUGUGAAAGAAACAAAGUGAACAAAAUAGCCACACACUAGGACGACAGGUCGAGGUGUAACUAAUGCCCGGGUAAAAGAUGGGCUACAUUUUCUAACCCAGAACAUACGGAUAAGAUAUGAAACUAAAAACUGAAGGAGGAUUUAGUAGUAAAAUAAGAACAAAAUACUUACUUGAAACUAAAGCAAUGAAGUGCGUACACACCGCCCGUCAUCCCUGUCAACAAACAUAAA